UACGUAGGUGGCAAGCGUUGUCCGGAUUUACUGGGCGUAAAGAGCGCGCAGGCGGUCGUUUAAGUCGAAUGUGAAAGCCCCCGGCUCAACUGGGGAGGGUCAUUCGAUACUGAUCGACUUGAAGGCAGGAGAGAGAAGUGGAAUUCCUGGUGUAGCGGUGGAAUGCGCAGAUAUCAGGAGGAACACCGGUGGCGAAGGCGGGUCUCUGGGCAGUAACUGACGCUGAGGAGCGAAAGCGUGGGGAGCGAACAGG
rnacentral:rRNA from 1 species